GAUGAACGCUGGCGGCGUGCCUAAUACAUGCAAGUCGAGCGAACAGACGAGGCGCUUUCCUCUCUGACGUUACCGGCGGACGGGUGAUGAACACGUGGAUAACUUACCUAUAAGACUAGGAUAACUUCGGGAACCCUGAUCCAAUACCCGUCAAUAUAGUGAACGGGAUGGUUCUAUAGUGAUAGCCGUAUUUGCUGUCACUUGUACGUGUAACCUGGCCGCAUUAGCUAGUUGGUAAGGUAACGGCUUACCAAGGCGACGAUGCGUAGCUGACCUGAGAGGAUGAUCAGCCACACUGGAACUGAGACACGGUCCAGACUCCUACGGGAGGCAGCAGUGGGGAAUAUUGCACAAUGGGCGAAAGCCUGACGGAGCCACGCCGCGUGAGUGAUGAAGGUCUUCGGAUCGUAAAACUCUGUUAGUAGGGAAGAAGGACAGUGUGUGUAACUAUGCACGUCUUGACGUUACCAACAGAGUAAGCCACGGCUAACUACGUG
rnacentral:rRNA from 1 species